rnacentral:rRNA from 1 species
CCCUUAGAUGUUCUGGGCCGCACGCGGGCUACACUGACGAUGGCAACGAGUUUUUCCUUCGCCGAAAGGUGUGGGUAAUCUUUUGAAACAUCGUCGUGCUGGGGAUAGAUCAUUGCAAUUUUUGAUCUUGAACGAGGAAUUCCUAGUAAGCGCGAGUCAUCAGCUCGCGUUGAUUACGUCCCUGCCCUUUGUACACACCGCCCGUCGCUACUACCGAUUGAAUGGUUUAGUGAGGACUCCUGAUUGGCGCCGCCGCCCCGGCAACGGAGCAGCGGACUGCCGAAAAGUUGUUCAAACUUGAUCAUUUAGAGGAAGUAAAAGUCGUAACA